rnacentral:rRNA from 1 species
AUGGACUCGGGGGGCGGCGAGCAGCUGAGCCUGGCCGCGGUGCGCGACCAGCUGAUCCGCGAGGAGGACUCCAUCGUCUUCGCGCUCAUCGAGCGGGCCAAACGCCCGCGCAACACACCGGCCUACUCGGCCGCCGCCGGCGGCGGCUCCCUCGCCGAGUUCUUCGUCCGGGAAGCCCAGGUCCUGCACGCCAAGGCUGGACACUAUCAAAAGCCAGAAGAUGUUCCAUUCUUCUCUCAAGAUCUUCCACCACCUGUCUUUCCUACCAAAGGUCACCCAAAGGUUUUGCACCCUUUUGCUUCAUCGGUCUGUGUGAAUGAUGCAAUAUGGAAGAUGUAUUUCAAUGAAUUGCUACCAUUAUUCACUGCGGAUGGCGAUGAUGGCAACUAUGCAGAAACAGUUGCAUUAGAUUUUGCAUGUCUGCAGGCUCUCUCAAGAAGAAUUCAUUGUGGAAAAUAUGUUGCUGAGGUGAAAUUCAGAGACGCACCUCAAGAUUAUAGCCCACCAAUACGUGCUAAGGACACCAAUGCUCUUAUGAACUUACUAACAUUCACGGCAGUUGAAGAAAAGGUCAAGAAGAGAGUAGAGAAGAAGGCAAGGAUAUUUGGACAGAUUGUCACUCUGGAGGACAGUGCAGGCAAGCAAGAUGGUGAUGCCUGUGACAGUCACUGUAAAGUUGAUCCAAAAGUGCUUUCUAAGCUAUAUGAUAUGUGGGUAAUGCCUUUAACGAAGGAUGUUGAAGUCGAAUAUCUUCUUCGGCGUCUUGACUGA